UACGUAGGGUGCAAGCGUUAAUCGGAAUUACUGGGCGUAAAGCGUGCGCAGGCGGUGAUGUAAGACAGGUGUGAAAUCCCCGGGCUUAACCUGGGAACUGCAUUUGUGACUGCAUAGCUAGAGUACGGUAGAGGGGGAUGGAAUUCCGCGUGUAGCAGUGAAAUGCGUAGAUAUGCGGAGGAACACCGAUGGCGAAGGCAAUCCCCUGGACCUGUACUGACGCUCAUGCACGAAAGCGUGGGGAGCAACAGG
rnacentral:rRNA from 1 species